GAUGAACGCUGGCGGCGUGCCUAAUACAUGCAAGUCGAACGAACAGACGAGGAGUUUUCUCCUCUGACGUUAGCGGCGGACGGGUGAUUAACACGUGGUUAACCUCCCUAUAAGACUGUGCUUACUUCGGGAAACCGGAGCUAAUACCGGAUAAUAUAUUGCAUCUCAUGUUUCAAUACUGCAAGACGUUUUUGCUGUCACUUAUAGAUUGAUCCGCGCCGCAUUAGCUAGUUGUUAAGGUAACGGCUUACCAAGGCGCCGAUGCGUAGCCGACCUGAGAGGGUGAACGGCCACACGGGAAAAGAGAAACGGUCCAGACACCGACGGGAAGAAGCAGUAGGGAAUCUUACGCGAGGGGGGAAAGGCGGACAGAGCAAAGCCGCGUGAGUGAUGAAGGAGUGAGGAUGGGAAAACGAUGAUAGUAGGGAAGAACAAAUGUGUAAGUAACUAGGAAGGUAUUGACGGUACCUAAGCAGAAAGCCACGGCUAACUACGUG
rnacentral:rRNA from 1 species